UACAGAGGUCCCAAGCGUUGUUCGGAUUCACUGGGCGUAAAGCGCACGUAGGCGGUUCGGUAAGUCGGGUGUGAAAGCCCUCGGCUCAACUGAGGAAGUGCAUUCGAAACUACCGGACUUGAGUAUGGAAGAGGGUCGCGGAAUUCCCGGUGUAGAGGUGAAAUUCGUAGAUAUCGGGAGGAACACCAGUGGCGAAGGCGGCGACCUGGGCCAAUACUGACGCUGAGGUGCGAAAGCGUGGGGAGCAAACAGG
rnacentral:rRNA from 1 species